UAGAAUUUUGAAAUACAUUGUGGGAAGAUAGGUUUUACGAACAGUAAAAGGAAAACAAUUGUCAACGAUUUGUUUCUAGCUACAAAUAAAAGUGACGCUCAGAUGAAAAAAGUUCGAAAGCCAAGACAAGUACAUUGAGGACCAAAAGUUCAAAAAGUUGUGCCUAAUACGGCUAGGGUUCUGCCUGGAAUAAGAACAUCCUGGUUAUUUCGAAUAAUUCAUAAUUUUGCAACCAGUGAUGUUUUAUAAAAUGACUAUAUAAUAGAUAUACAUGAUAAAAUCGAAGUGGUGACUAACUACACAAUAAAAACGGUUACAUAAAACUAUCUAAACCAGCACAUAAAAAUUCACAGCCGAGUUAGCCAAAACCAUAAACGCACAAAGUGACGUAAUAUAUGAAUUUCUUAAACAAUAUCCCAAAAAUAGGAUAGACAGAAUUCAGGAUUAGAUUUGCAAUACUGAUAUAACAUUUAUCAAUAACAAUGAAAAUUACAAUAUUAAUUAUUAUCACAUUGUGGACUGGUAGUAAACUUUUCCGAUUAUUUGCCCAAAUCCACGAAUUUGGACACAUAUUUGAAAUUUAUUGGUUAG
rnacentral:lncRNA from 1 species